rnacentral:rRNA from 1 species
AUUCCAGCUCCAAUAGCGUAUAUUAAUGUUGUUGCAGUUAAAAAGCUCGUAGUUGAAUUUCUGGUUAAAAUCUUAGCUGGCUUUGGUCGUUAAUGUUUUAAUCAUCCGUUAGAGAACUAUAACCGUCCUUAACUGGUCAUUAUAGAGAUCUAACAUUUUACUUUGAAAAAAUUAGAGUGUUCAAGGCAGGCAAUCGUCAUGAAUACUAUAGCAUGGAAUAAUGGAAUAGGACUUUGGUUCAUUUUAUUGGUUAUUGAACCUUAGUAAUGAUUAACAGGGACAGUCAGGGGCACUCGUAUUCCGCCGAGAGAGGUGAAAUUCUCAGACUAGCGGAAGACGAACCACUGCGAAAGCAUUUGCCAGGGAUGUUUUCAUUA